UCCGAUAUGGUGUAGUGGCUAACAUUAUCGCCUCUCAUGAAUAAACUUUUCUGUGCUUGAAGCGCGAUAGCCCGGGGUUCGAUUCCCCGUGUCGGAA